rnacentral:rRNA from 1 species
UACGUAGGGUGCGAGCGUUAAUCGGAAUUACUGGGCGUAAAGCGUGCGCAGGCGGUGGCUCAAGCCAGGCGUGAAAUCCCCGGGCUUAACCUGGGAAUGGCGUUUGGGGCUGGGUCGCUAGAGUGUGGCAGAGGGAGGUGGAAUUCCACGUGUAGCAGUGAAAUGCGUAGAGAUGUGGAGGAAUACCGAUGGCGAAGGCAGCCCCCUGGGAUAACACUGACGCUCAUGCACGAAAGCGUGGGGAGCAAACAGG